AGGGCACUGGAAGGUCCNUAAACCGAAAGGGGCUCUGCCCGCCCGAGGAUGGGCCGGCGGCCGAUUAGGUAGUUGGUGGGGUAACGGCCCACCAAGCCCAUAAUCGGUACGGGCAGUGAGAGCUGGAGCCCGGAGAUGGACACUGAGACACGGGUCCAGGCCCUACGGGGCGCAGCAGGCGCGAAACCUCCGCAAUGCUCGAAAGAGCGACGGGGGGACCCCAAGUGCCGUGGUACAACCACGGCUUUUCCGGAGUGUAAGAAGCUCCGGGAAUAAGGGCUGGGCAAGGCCGGUGGCAGCCGCCGCGGUAAUACCGGCGGCCCGAGUGGUGGCCACUAUUAUUGGGCCUAAAGCGUCCGUAGCCGGGCUUGUAAGUCCCUGGCGAAAUCCCACGGCUCAACCGUGGGGCUUGCUGGGGAUACUGCAAGCCUUGGGACCGGGAGAGGCCGGGGGUACUCCUGGGGUAGGGGUGAAAUCCUAUAAUCCCAGGAGGACCGCCAGUGGCGAAGGCGCCCGGCUGGAACGGGUCCGACGGUGAGGGACGAAGGCCAGGGGAGCAAACCGGAUUAGAUACCCGGGUAGUCCUGGCUGUAAAGGAUGCGGGCUAGGUGUUGCUUGGACCUCGAGUCCAAGCAGUGCCGCAGGGAAGCCG
rnacentral:rRNA from 1 species